ensembl:misc_RNA 7SK 7SK RNA
AGCAGGGAGUGCCAUAUGGCUGUGACAUCCUUCUGCACAUUGACAAUCAGGGAUGAUCUGAUUGCUCUAGCUAGUAGGCCAGUGACCCAUUUUCUUCCUCUCUACUCUAUGUGUAUUCCUCUAAGAAUGUGGACUCCAUCAAAGGAGGACAGGUCUCUUAGGGGAGAAGCAUGUAAAAAAUGCUCUGGCUUCCCUGCUAGCAGCUCCAUUAGUGGAUAUACCCCAUGACACACUGUGCAAAAUGAGUGCUUUCUCUUUUU